AUUCCGUGAUGUGGGCAUUUUCUUAGCAACGAUUUAAAAUGUUCUCACGCUUCGUAUAAGUUUUCUCCUUCAAAUUGCUUAAAGUUAGCUAUGUCGCGCCU
rfam:Gossypium arboreum cultivar AKA8401 contig_88949_1, whole genome shotgun sequence.